rnacentral:tRNA from 2 species
UCCUCGAUAGCUCAAUGGUAGAGCACCCGGCUGUUAACCGGGUGGUUGUUGGUUCGAGUCCAACUCGGGGAGCCA